GUCCCUUUCCUUAUUCUUCUCUCUAUAUUUUCUCCAUUUCCAUCUUUUCUUUUCUUUUUUCUUAACACUUUCUUUUCAGCAAUCACUGUCUCAUUUCCAUAUCCGUUUCGCAUUGUUUAGUGUUACCAUUUUCGUUUUCGUUUUUCAAUGAGUCGUUACGAUACUAACCCUUUCGCUGAGGAAGAGGUUAAUCCUUUCGCGGAUCCAUCAGUUAGGAAAGGAUCUGGUGGAGGUUCCUUUAAUUCUUCAAAUCCUGGUAGUAUAUCAAGGCUUUCACCCCUUCCUCCUGAACCAUAUGACCGUGGUGCAACAAUAGAUAUUCCUCUUGAUUCUGCCAAGGAUAUAAAAGAAAAGGAAAAGGAACUUAAAGCAAAGGAGGCUGAACUUAAAAGGCGAGAGCAGGAAUUGAAACGGAGGGAGGAGGCAUUAGCACGAUCUGGAGUGGUGAUAGAGGAGAAAAAUUGGCCGCCUUUUUUUCCUAUUAUCCAUAAUGACAUUUCAAAUGACAUACCAAUCCACCUACAAACAAUCAUGUAUGUUGGUUUCACAUCAUUGAUAGGUUUGGUCAUCUGCCUCACUUGGAAUGUAAUGGCUGUCACUGUAGCCUGGAUCAAGGGAGAAGGUCCAACAAUUUGGUUUCUAGCCAUCAUAUAUUUCUUAACUGGCGUCCCUGGAGGCUAUUACUUGUGGUAUCGUCCUCUUUACGGUGCUUGCAGGACUGAUAGUGCGUUAAAAUUUGGAUCCUUUUUCUUCGUUUACGUGUUCCAUAUAUUAUUUUGCGUCCUUGCUGCAAUUGCUCCUCCAUUUAUUUUCAAGGGAAAAUCCCUUGCAGGUAUUUUACCUGCUUUGGAUCUCUUUAGCUAUAAUUAUGUGCUUGGGAUAUUAUACUUCGUUGGUUUUGCAUUUUUUUGCUGUGAAUCACUUGUCAGCAUCUGGGUUAUUCAGCAAGUAUAUAUGUAUUUCCGAGGUAGUGGUAAAGCGGCUGAGAUGAAGCGGGAGGCUACAAGAAGAACCAUGAUGUCAGCACUAUGAGACGGGAGGUGGUAAUCGAAAAUGGGGGGUAUUUGCGAUACAAAUUGUAGGUGGACUAGGGCUUUUGGCUACAAGUUUUUUUGUUCUUCUCCCUUACCUCAUAGGGGUUAGCAAACCUUCACCAAGAUUUUCCAAAUGGCGUCCAAAUAAUUUAAUUUUGUUUGAUUGAGAUAUAAAAUUGAUUGUAUUUGUAUAUCACUGGAUACGAUUUAGAGCCUAAGUAUUAAAUUAUCCCAAUACUUAUGUACUUCCAGAACUAUUUACAGAAUAUUAAAAGCUGCCCUUGUUUUUUAUUAUUAUUGCAAAAA